rnacentral:rRNA from 1 species
UGGGGAAUUUUGGACAAUGGGCGAAAGCCUGAUCCAGCAAUGCCGCGUGUGUGAAGAAGGCCUUCGGGUUGUAAAGCACUUUUGUCCGGAAAGAAAUCCUUGGCUCUAAUACAGUCGGGGGAUGACGGUACCGGAAGAAUAAGCACCGGCUAACUACGUGCCAGCAGCCGCGGUAAUACGUAGGGUGCAAGCGUUAAUCGGAAUUACUGGGCGUAAAGCGUGCGCAGGCGGUUUGCUAAGACCGAUGUGAAAUCCCCGGGCUCAACCUGGGAACUGCAUUGGUGACUGGCAGGCUAGAGUAUGGCAGAGGGGGGUAGAAUUCCACGUGUAGCAGUGAAAUGCGUAGAGAUGUGGAGGAAUACCGAUGGCGAAGGCAGCCCCCUGGGCCAAUACUGACGCUCAUGCACGAAAGCGUGGGGAGCAAACAGGAUUAGAUACCCUGGUAGUCCACGCCCUAAACGAUGUCAACUAGUUGUUGGGGAUUCAUUCCUUAGUAACGUAGCUAACGCGUGAAGUUGACCGCCUGGGGAGUACGGUCGCAAGAUUAAACUCAAAGGAAUUGACGGGGUCAUAGCUGUUUCCU